GGGAUUGUAGCUCAGUGGCAGAGCGCUUGCCUAGCAUGUGGGAGGCACUGGGUUCGAUUCUCAGCACCA
rnacentral:tRNA from 1 species